GGAUGACUCAUUGCUUCGCUGUGUCAUGAGUUUCAUUUUGAAAUGGAAUACACUCUGUGGUUUCAUCUGAGGCUUCAUGUUGAUGCAAAAAGGAAAUGAGCCCAUAUUGGGAAGUCGGGCUGAAAUACACGCGUUGUAUCAAGCUGCUGCUUAGCCAUUCUCAUUUCCUCUGCUUUGCUAUUACCAAGCUGGUUUAUCUUCCUCUCACACCUCUCUCUCUCCAUCCCUUGUCUGAGAACGGGGUUAAGCAGACAGAACGCACCCAGAGACUAGCCUGUGAAUGAGCCACUGAGUAGCACCACUCGUCGAAUGACGUUCUGGGCUCAGAUCUUCCCGGGUUGGCGCUGACAAAAGAAUGCCGGUCUUCAUGGCACUCCCAUGCUUGCAAAAAGUGUCUGUUUUUAUGAAAAGCAUUUUAUAGUGUCAUUUCACAUAAAUAGUCACACCUUUAGACUUGGAUAUCUGCCAAUAUCAAGAACUACUGAGAACUAGGAAGAGCAGUAGAAAUAAAGUCGUAGUGGAGAAUGAAGAAAAACACCCAAGGCCUUCUACAUGCGGAAGGCAUUUAUUUCAGUCUUAAAUCAUAAACUGAGAAUCUGGAUGCAACGGAAGGUCUUUGGCUGAUAAGACUGAACACGUUUUAAACCGUUCUUCAAGAUGAAAAACAACAGUUUAACCCCAGUCAGCCCCUUCUGUUAGUGAAGACAGUGUGUCAUCGGUGUGGUUGGAGAAAUGUGAGUUCAUCAUGAAUGUUUCUAAAGUGAGACAUAUCCAAGAUGCAUGGACUGCUCCCGCGAGUACUUUGAAAGUCAGGAAGCAGCCUAUGAGAAGCUGUGAUUUCCACAGCCUUCCUACAAGUUGCUUGACAUUCACGCCUGACAAUGGUUUAUGUUAUGGUUCCUAUCACCCCUACAGCUCUGUGUGUCUCAGAUUCCAACACCUGCACGAAACUCAGGGAAAACGUGUCGACGAUCAUCAAGCACAUCACAACAAACAGCAGUCAGAGACCGAAGAAAUACCAAAUUAUUGAAACUGAUUCAAAUUCAAGACUUAAAAAAGCAACCAGUUCACUUCAUUCACACCAACAGCUUGUAUGUUUUCUAAACUUGAAAGAGGAGUUUUUUGAAAUUACGAUUUCAGGACUUCCCUUGCUCCAAACCACUCAUCCAGCCUCUACUAUUUCUCCCAGAGUUCAAACCCCCACUGGCCACUAACACUUUGUCUUCAUUUCUCUAAGGAUGCCUGCGGAGGUCACUCCUGGAUAAAAUUCUGAUUCAAAUCUCCAUUAUUAAGUCUUUCCCAGAAACCAAAACAAGAGUCAAGAGAUCCACCAUCAUUUUCCACUGAGGAAAGAAAGUCAAGAGAGUGAAGAGGCCUCCGAAGGUGCCACACCUAGCGGGUGUAGGCAGUGUUGGUAUCCAGGCAUCAGUGUCCAGGACUACAUUAUACAAAGCCUCCAGCAAGCCAUCAUUUUACAGGGGAUGAAACUGAGUUCCAGAGACAUGACACGACUUGCCAAGAUAAUA